rnacentral:tRNA from 1 species
AAAUAGAUAGCUCAGCUGGUAGAGUACCGAAUAUUCCGGGGGCCGCGGGUUCGAAUCCCGUUCUAUUUC